UACAGAGGGUGCGAGCGUUGUCCGGAAUCAUUGGGCGUAAAGCGCGCGUAGGCGGCCCGGUAAGUCCGCUGUAAAAGUCAAAGGCUCAACCUUUGAAUGUCAGUGGAUACUGCCGGGCUAGAGUCCGGAAGAGGCGAGUGGAAUUCCUGGUGUAGCGGUGGAAUGCGCAGAUAUCAGGAGGAACACCAAUAGCGAAGGCAGCUCGCUGGGACGUUACUGACACUGAGGCGCGAAAGCGUGGGGAGCGAACAGG
rnacentral:rRNA from 1 species